CACGUAGGGCGCAAGCGUUGUCCGGAAUUAUUGGGCGUAAAGAGCUCGUAGGUGGUUUGUUACGUCCGCUGUGAAAACCUAGGGCUUAACCCUGGGCUUGCAGUGGAUACGGGCAGACUAGAGGUAGGUAGGGGAGAAUGGAAUUCCUGGUGUAGCGGUGAAAUGCGCAGAUAUCAGGAGGAACACCGAUGGCGAAGGCAGGUCACUGGGCCGCAACUGACGCUGAGGAGCGAAAGCGUGGGGAGCGAACAGG
rnacentral:rRNA from 1 species